rnacentral:tRNA from 1 species
CGGGGUAUUGGUACAAAUGGAAGAACGCCCACCUAUCAAGUGGGAGACGCAAGUUCGAAUCUUGCAUAUCCUGA